CUGCGAUGUGCCGUUUGCAUGUGAUGUGAAUGAGAGCGGGAUAGAUAGGUUUACAUGUGAUGUAGCAAACCCCAUUGAGACCUAAAUUAAAACCUCCUCAAUCAAGUCGAGAGUGAACCAACAUGAGCGAGUCAUAUUAGAUUAAUUGAUCUAAUUGGUGUCUAGGAACGCAUGAAAGGUGGUUACUUAAUUAGGACCUUACUCUCUGAGUAAGGG
rnacentral:lncRNA from 1 species